UCCCUGGUAGUCCAGUGGUUAAGACUCUGUACUUCCAAUGCAGGAAGCAUAGGUUGGAUCCCUGGUUGGGGAA
rfam:Ovis aries breed Texel chromosome 12, whole genome shotgun sequence.